CCUACGGGAGGCAGCAGUGAGGAAUAUUGGUCAAUGGCCGGAAGGCUGAACCAGCCAAGCCGCGUGAGGGAGGAAUGCGCAGAGCGUCGCAGACCUCUUUUGCCGGGGGACAAAAGGCCGGACUCGUCCGGUCCUGAGGGUACCCGGAGAAAAAGCAUCGGCUAACUCCGUGCCAGCAGCCGCGGUAAUACGGAGGAUGCGAGCGUUAUCCGGAUUUAUUGGGUUUAAAGGGUGCGCAGGGGGGCCUUUAAGCCGGUGGUGAAAUCGGGAGGCUCAACCCGGCCGGGCCGUCUGAACUGGGGGCCGUGAGUGCGGCGGAGGCAUGCGGAAUGCGCGGGGUAGCGGUGAAAUGCAUAGAUAUCGCGAAGAACCCCGAUUGCGAAGGCAGCGGGCCGUGCCGCCACUGACGUUGAGGCACGAAAGCGCGGGGAUCGAACAGGAUUAGAUACCCUUGUAGUC
rnacentral:rRNA from 1 species